GACGAACGCUGGCGGCAUGCCUAAUACAUGCAAGUCGAGCGAACAGAUGAAGUGCUUGCACUUCUGACGUAGCGGCGAACGGGUGAGUAACACGUAAGGAAUCUACCUAUAAGCGGGGGAUAACAUUCGGAAACGGGUGCUAAUACCGCAUAAUAUCUUCUUCCGCAUGGAAGGAGAUUGAAAGACGGCUCUGCUGUCACUUAUAGAUGAACUCGCGGUGCAUUAGUUAGUUGGUGGGGUAACGGCCUACCAAGACGAUGAUGCAUAGCCGACCUGAGAGGGUGAUCGGCCACAUUGGGACUGAGACACGGCCCAAACUCCUACGGGAGGCAGCAGUAGGGAAUCUUCCGCAAUGGGCGAAAGCCUGACGGAGCAAUGCCGCGUGAGUGAAGAAGGCCUUCGGGUCGUAAAACUCUGUUAUAAGAGAAGAACAAAUUGUAGAGUAACUGCUACAGUCUUGACGGUAUCUUAUCAGAAAGCCACGGCUAACUACGUGCCAGCCGCCGCAGUAA
rnacentral:rRNA from 1 species